AGGACGAACGCUGGCGGCGUGCUUAACACAUGCAAGUGGAGCGACGAACCAGGGCUUGCCCUGGGGCAGAGCCGCGAACGGGUGAGUAACACGUGGGUUACCUGCCUCGAUGACCGGGACAACCCGAGGAAACUCGGGCUAAUACCGGAUGUGCCCGCAAGGGGAAAGGAAGCUUCGGCCUCCGCAUCGAGAUGGGCCCGCGGCCCAUUAGCUUGUUGGUGAGGUAACGGCUCACCAAGGCUUCGAUGGGUAGCUGGUCUGAGAGGACGAUCAGCCACACUGGGACUGAGACACGGCCCAGACUCCUACGGGAGGCAGCAGUGGGGAAUCUUGCGCAAUGCGCGAAAGCGUGACGCAGCAACGCCGCGUGGGGGAAGAAGGCUUUCGGGUUGUAAACCCCUUUCAGUUGGGACGAAGCUUCAGCGGUGAAUAGCCGCUUGGAGUGACGGUACCUUCACAAGAAGCACCGGCUAACUACGUGCCAGCAGCCGC
rnacentral:rRNA from 1 species